rnacentral:lncRNA from 1 species
UGAAAUCUGAAAAAUGUCCUUUUUUCUGCAACUUAUUAUAAUGAUGUUUUAUAAUAUCAAGGAAAUCAAUCGUUGUCUCAUUGCAUCAUCUGCUGAUUUUCCAUUGCUCUUACAGUCACAUCCAGAAGGUUAGCUCGGGCUGCUUCAAGAAUUUCACGUCUGUUCUGAAUCAUCUCUGUGCCCUUGGCCUCCGCCUUUGUCUCGCAACCCAGAGAUACUGGCACUGUGGAAAUCACUACGUCUGUCUCACAGAGGAAGCAGUGGAAUUCGAAGUGAUGGAUUCACCAGCCAACAUGAUUGCUGGUGAAAGCAAUGCCUAUCAGUUCCUGGGAACUAUUCUGGACACUAGAGACACAGCCAUCCAAGUGACAGAUAAGUCUCCUCUUCACCUAUCAAAUGUGUCAAGACCCAGGAAAAUCUUUUUUGUCUGCUGACCUUUCUCGUCCCAGCUGAGUAACAAAGCUUUCCAUCAAGAUCAUCAGGUCAGCAAGACUUCAUGGCUGUGUCUCAGCUUGCUGGUUUACCCCUGAGGUUUUGGCUUCAACCUCAAUCUCUUCUAGGUUAGAACAGCUGCACACCAUCACCAAUUUAUCAUCCUGGAAAAAUGGAGAGAUGCCACGAGCUGGAGACCGAGCCAAGUAUUGGCUGAAUUAGGGCUGAACAGAGGUGGCCCAGUUUUGUUGCUUUCUUCCUGGCCCUGAGGAAUGCUCCCAUUUCCCUUUCUUUCUGUGACACAGGUCACCUUCAUCACCUUUGACCAAGUCCCUGCUUGGAAAUCACCUUGGCUUUUUACCUUCUCUGUCUGAGAUUGGAACCCCAACCUGGUCAGUCAGCCGACAGCUGCCCACCUCCUUCCCCUCUUUGUCUUUGGUCUCCUUUUCUCCCUUUAUGCUUGAAGUCAAUGUUUUUUCUUUUAAAGAAAAAUCAAAUGUCAGUUCUCUUCUCCAUGAAAAUUAAUAUGAGGUUAUGUCACUGUCUUCCAGGAGUGCCUAAAAUUAACUAUUCCCAGAAAAAGACAUUUAGAUUAUAUUAGCUUCUAGACAUUCUUUUCUUCAAAUAGUUUUUCUGACAUCAAAAGUAAACAUUUUCCAGGAGACCUGUAAUCCAAGGUACUUGAGAGUCUGAUGCAAAAGGAUCUCAAGUUUGAGCCCAGCUUGGGCAGCUUAGCAAGACCUCAUGUCAAAAUAAAAUUUAAAAAAGGACUGGGCAUGUAGCUCAGUGGUAGACACCUUGCGUACCAUGCCUGAGGCCCUGGGCCUAAUCACUAGUGCCCCCUGCCACACAUAAGAUAGAAAGGAAAAAAACAAAUGAACUUUUUUUUUAAAAGUAAACAUUCUUGCAACAAAAUGAAAAAACAGAGGAAGGUAGAGAAAAAAGCAGGAAUCAGAGUCCCAUCAUCCAAAAUCCUUGCUCAUAUUCACAUCCAUGUCUUUCAAGGCCUUAUUCUGUGCACAUGCAGUGGUAUAUAAAAUACGUAGUUACUGGACG